AAGACUAUUUAAUAUGUGAUUAAUGGACUAGUUAUUUGACGUAAUGCCAAAAUCUAGGCUGUUCAGAGCAAAAUUUGGUGACAAAAAUAAAUCUUGAAUUACUCCCUUUGUCCCUUCCUUGCUUCUGACUACACUGCAUUUAAAGCAAGUUGUAGAUAACUCCAAUCCAAAUUUCUCCAUCCUUUAAAAGUGUCAUACUUUUUUGCUGAUAAUUGCUAUGGUCUUAGAAAAAUAUUUGAUCUUGUUUUGUUAUAUCUGUGGGACAUGUUCUGCUUGGUCAAAGAAAGAAGCUUAUUCCUAAAUUUGGUCACUAUUGUUUGAUUUCCUUCUUGCAAGCUGAUGUUUGAAUUAACUUUUCUUUAAAGCAACGAUUUUUUUUCUCCUUUUUUAUUCAUGGAUGAAUUAUAAUAAGAGUGACCUGAUGAAAAGCAGUAGAAUGGAACAAGGAAAAAAAGGUCUGGCAGGCAUAGUGUAUGGAAAAUAAACUUGACCUCUUCCUCAGUGCAGACAAAGUUAAUGGUUAUAGACAGUCUUUGUUCAUGGAACAUGUUCUCCUCCUCUGAAGAAAGCAAGCAAUUGUUCUGCUAAAUUAAAACUUAACGUGAAAUGAACAGCCUUUUUUAUGGGAAGAGGGUUCCCUGUCCUAGAGAGUCCACCCAGUCAGUUGGGAAACACUUCAUGCAGAAGCCUGGAUUCCUGCAGCCUUCAUGUCCUUCUGCUGGAGCAUGAAAUAAGGCUGUCUAGAACACCUGCUGUGGGAAGAGGUACCCAUGAUACCUAGUGUAAAGAUUUGAAGCCACACACAGAAACCCAUCACCAUGGGCAGCCAGGAGUGCAGCACCUGCACCUGCAUCAUCACCAUGGUCAACUCAACCCAUCCAGGAACUUGCAGGCUGAUUUGCAAGCCCAGCUACAUCAGCUGCUACCUGGGAGGACAGGACAACAUGCUGGGAGAAGGAGCUAAUAUCCUGCAAUUAACAAGAUUUGCUUUACAUGUCAUGUCUGUAAUAUGCUCACAAACAUUCCUCUUAGCAAAUACUUCUGUUUUCCCUGACAUGUUCUGAGCUACGUGGCAUGGUGAUGGAGCCACCUGCUCCCUGUGAAGAGAAAGCACUGCUCUGACCACCUUCCCUAUACCAUACCUACUCUGCAACUAGAAACCCAUAAAACCGGGGUAGGCAGACCCAAGAGCAGGGCUGAGCUGAAGCUGACUGUGUAGCAAGACCAGUCCUGACCAGUAAAAGUGAAAAUGUAGAUAUGACAGUGUCUGUUCAUGCAGGAGAGAUUACAGAAAUGAACAGGAUGAUUUGGCUAAACACCUGGUAAAGGGGGUGUCAAAACCGAUAACAGUUACAAUGGGCCAGCCCUGCCCCUAUCCAGACCUGUGAGUAAAGCUGGAGACUGAAGGAACUGGAAAUAGGACUGGGAUGUCUGAAGUAAAGCUAGGCAUUUAUUAUUUGUUUCCAGAUGAUGGGCAAAGCUGUGGUUGCAAUUUUUUGUUCCGUUCUUUCUCUUGUACAAAAACACAGGGACCAUUGCCAAUUUUCUCCUGAUCAUUUUCCUGUUUCCUUAAAUAAAAAUCUCUGUUUCCAUGUUCCCAAGGAGUCUGAGGACAUAUGAGCACAGGAGGGCUGGAGCAGAGCUAGAAGUAGGAACACGCCUUUCGGCUGCAAGAUCUAGCCACAGUUUUCUUUAUUUUAGAAAGAAAAACCUAACAAAUAAAGAGUUAUAGCAACAUGGGAGAAAACAUUCUUUCAUGGUUUGUCUUUAUCUAACUUGGAUGAUACUGUGAACAGCUAAUAACAAGCCAUUGCUGGAAGGUGUAAAUAAAAUGCAAAGUCUCUCGUCAUCCAUGUGAGAGGUCCCUGUUCAUGCAAGGACCAGCUCUUGCAGCCUUUGCUCAAGUGAGACAUGUUUAGUCACAACAGGGAUUGCAAGGACUAAAGCAUUAAGCACACAAUGACAAUGACGAAUUUUUACUGUGCUCAAAGAAAGAAAAUUGAGGUGCUUUGUAUUUUCAACACACGCUGAAUGUAAUACUUUUUUGAAAUUAGAAAAUGUAAGAGAAACGUGGCAUUUCCAGGCAGGGAGGACAAUGCGAGCUCUCAUCCAAGCCACUCUCAGGUUGGAGCUGGAGCUCUGCUUGUGCUUCAACACACUCCCCAUGCUCCCACAACAAUAACACGCCACUGUUAUUUUUAGCGUCAACUAUAAUACAAAGCAAUUCAAGGCAUCUGCAGUGUAUUCUGUGAGGACAGUAUUUCUCUUUUGCUUGUGUAGUUCCCAGGCUGCAGUGCCAUUCUGUUCACCAAUCUUAAACAAACACUGCCUUUGAGAUUUCCUAAAUAGUUCAAAGUGGUGUCUAGGGAAACAUUAGAAACACAUAUGGAAAGCCUGAAUACAUUUCAGAUGAAACCACUUUGAAUGUCCAUUUUUGUGCAAGUUCUGAGCUGGAAGAUAGUAAAAAGCAAGAGUUUUUAAGAUAAACUUGUCAGGA